rnacentral:piRNA from 1 species
UGGUUGACUCUGUUAUGGAGAUGGU